GACGAACCGUGCGAACGUUGUUCGGAAUCACUGGGCUUAAAGGGCGCGUAGGCGGCUUGCCAAGUCCGGGGUGAAAGCCUCCAGCUUAACUGGAGAAGUGCCUUGGAUACUGGCGAGCUCGAGUGAGGUAGGGGCCGUUGGAACUUCCGGUGGAGCGGUGAAAUGCGUUGAUAUCGGAAGGAACGCCGGUGGCGAAAGCGAACGGCUGGACCUCUUCUGACGCUGAGGCGCGAAAGCUAGGGGAGCGAACGGG
rnacentral:rRNA from 1 species